AUUGAACGCUGGCGGAAUGCUUUACACAUGCAAGUCGAACGGCAGCACGGACUUCGGUCUGGUGGCGAGUGGCGAACGGGUGAGUAAUGUAUCGGAACGUGCCCAGUCGUGGGGGAUAACGUAGUGAAAAUUACGCUAAUACCGCAUACGAUCUAUGGAUGAAAGCGGGGGAUCGCAAGACCUCGCGCGAUUGGAGCGGCCGAUAUCAGAUUAGAUAGUUGGUGGGGUAAAGGCCCACCAAGCCAACGAUCUGUAGCUGGUCUGAGAGGACGACCAGACACACUGGAACUGAGACACGGUCCAGACUCCUACGGGAGGCAGCAGUGGGGAAUUUUGGACAAUGGGCGAAAGCCUGAUCCAGCCAUUCCGCGUGCAGGAUGAAGGCCCUCGGGUUGUAAGCUGCUUUUGUACAGAACGAAAAGGUUUCUACUAAUACUAGGAGCUCAUGACGGUACUGUAAGAAUAAGCACCGGCUAACUACGUGCCAGCCGCCGCAGUAA
rnacentral:rRNA from 1 species